rnacentral:rRNA from 1 species
UACGAAGGGGGCGAGCGUUGUUCGGAAUUACUGGGCGUAAAGGGCGCGCAGGCGGCUCUGAAAGUCAGAUGUGAAAGCCCCAGGCUUAACCUGGGAAUUGCAUUUGAUACUCUGGAGCUUGAGUACGGGAGAGGAGAGUGGAAUUCCCAGUGUAGAGGUGAAAUUCGUAGAUAUUGGGAAGAACACCGGUGGCGAAGGCGGCUCUCUGGACCGUAACUGACGCUGAGGCGCGAAAGCGUGGGGAGCAAACAGG